rnacentral:rRNA from 1 species
UACGUAGGGAGCAAGCGUUGUCCGGAAUCAUUGGGCGUAAAGCGCGCGUAGGCGGCCUCGUAAGUCCGUUGUGAAAGUCAAAGGCUCAACCUUUGAAAGCCGAUGGAUACUGUGAGGCUAGAGUCCGGAAGAGGCGAGUGGAAUUCCUGGUGUAGCGGUGGAAUGCGCAGAUAUCAGGAGGAACACCGGUGGCGAAGGCGGGUCUCUGGGCAGUAACUGACGCUGAGGAGCGAAAGCGUGGGGAGCGAACAGG